rnacentral:rRNA from 1 species
ACGGGUGAGUAACACGUGGGCAAUCUGCCCUUCACUCUGGGACAAGCCCUGGAAACGGGGUCUAAUACCGGAUAACACUCUGUCCCGCAUGGGACGGGGUUAAAAGCUCCGGCGGUGAAGGAUGAGCCCGCGGCCUAUCAGCUUGUUGGUGGGGUGAUGGCCUACCAAGGCGACGACGGGUAGCCGGCCUGAGAGGGCGACCGGCCACACUGGGACUGAGACACGGCCCAGACUCCUACGGGAGGCAGCAGUGGGGAAUAUUGCACAAUGGGCGAAAGCCUGAUGCAGCGACGCCGCGUGAGGGAUGACGGCCUUCGGGUUGUAAACCUCUUUCAGCAGGGAAGAAGCGAAAGUGACGGUACCUGCAGAAGAAGCGCCGGCUAACUACGUGCCAGCAGCCGCGGUAAUACGUAGGGCGCAAGCGUUGUCCGGAAUUAUUGGGCGUAAAGAGCUCGUAGGCGGCUUGUCACGUCGGAUGUGAAAGCCCGGGGCUUAACCCCGGGUCUGCAUUCGAUACGGGCUAGCUAGAGUGUGGUAGGGGAGAUCGGAAUUCCUGGUGUAGCGGUGAAAUGCGCAGAUAUCAGGAGGAACACCGGUGGCGAAGGCGGAUCUCUGGGCCAUUACUGACGCUGAGGAGCGAAAGCGUGGGGAGCGAACAGGAUUAGAUACCCUGGUAGUCCACGCCGUAAACGUUGGGAACUAGGUGUUGGCGACAUUCCACGUCGUCGGUGCCGCAGCUAACGCAUUAAGUUCCCCGCCUGGGGAGUACGGCCGCAAGGCUAAAACUCAAGGAAUUGACGGG